UCCUCCUCUCGCACGACUCUCCCCUCUUCUCCCCUCCCCCCGCCCCCUCCCCCAAACCCAAGUAACAAAAACUUCUGUUCCCGGCAGUUCUCCCGUGCCCACGUGGGGAGUGACUGAGGCCGCUCGGCCCCAGGCGGAGCGGCGGGCAAAGCUGCCUCGGGGUCGGGGUCGGGGUCGGCCCGCCCCAGGCGGAGCGGCGGGCAAAGCUGCCUCGGGGUCGGGGUCGGCCCGCCCCAGGCGGAGCGGAGGCCGGGGCCGCCGCCCCCCUCUCCCCUCGCUCGCCGGCCGCCGCCCUGCGGCCCGGGGGGGCCGGGAGCGCGGCGGGGCCCGGCGGCCGGAGGGAGGUGCCCCCUGGGCGCGCCCCCGCCACGCUCCGGUCGACCGGGACGCGGCCCCCGAGAGCGGCGGCUCUUCAUUCGGCUGCUGGGCGAAGGGCUCCGAGUAAGAACGUCAACUUUCCGGUAGCGGCGGCGCAGGAGCCCCGGCCGCGCGAAGCUCCGGGACGGCCCCGGGGAACCGGCACCCACGCAGCAGUCGUGCCCUUUCCGGCCUUGGGCGUCUGCCCCUCGACUUCCGUCGGCGGCGGCCCCCGGGGCGGUUUCUCCCGCCCGCCGCGCAGCCUACCUGCCGCCCCACCGAGCGGCCCUUCCUCUUGCAACGGGAACAUCCAUCUCGGGUUUUAUUUCCUCCCGAGACACCAGAGGAAGCCUCAGGAAUGAUGAUCCACCCACAGGAAUAUCCAAAGAGCAGCACGUUUGCACUCCAAGAACUGAGGGGAAGUGGCAGGCCAAGCUCCACAGGUGACUGAGAUGGUGAUAUAGGACCACCUUGAGAUUUACCAGAAGCCAAGGCAACAGCCCUGGGACAACAACAACCUCAAGACCUUGCAUUUUGUGGGAUGUCAUUUGAGCCUCACAUCAACAUGUGGAGAAGGACAAUUCAGGGUACCGAUUUUUCCCUUGCUGAUAAUCAACUUCACACUGCCCAGCCGACCUGAAUGGACACAGCAGUGUGGGCACUCACAGGGUUUCUUGAGCCAUAUGCUCAUUUUCAGAGAUGGGGCUGAGCUGAGCCAGGCACGUGUGGAGUCUGUUAUUUGCCAACUGUGUUAUCCAGUGCCUCAGAUGGUGAUCUGAUCACUAGGGGGCAAGUCUUUCCUGUUUGUCACCUGUGGAGGGCCACACAUCAAGGACAGCAGAGAUGUCUGGUGACUGUCUGCUUCCCUCCAGCACAGGACACUGACCCGGGCUGCACUCACUCCUGCUCUGCUGUUCUCCUGCCCUGUUUGGGGAAGGUCCCCAUUUCACAUCACCAAUUGUUGGCCAACUUGUGAAUCAAAGCCAAAGCCAUGUUGGGCUUUUUUUGGAUGUUUGACAGGUGACACUUCUAUCAGAAGAGUCCUGUGAAGGAGGCCAGAGGUCUGAAAAAUGCCUUCCUUGGUGGGAAGGCAGGAAACCUAACUCUGGGACUAUUUGUACCAUA